CACCGUCUUGCUUUGAACAUUACUGCUUUCCUUUUGUUCUCCAGGUGGGCUCCUGAUCACCAACAUUUACACGGGGUUUCCUCGAAACUUGAACUGUUUUUCCCUUUGUUCUCUAGGUGGGCUCCUGAUUACCGACACUUGAAUUGUUUCUCCCUUUAUUCUCCAGGUGGGCUCCUGAUUACCGACACUUGAAUUGCUUCUCCUUUUGUUCUCUAAGUGGGCUCCUGAUUACCGACACUUGAAUUGCUUCUCCCUUUGUUCUUUAGGUGGGCUCCUGAUUUCCGACACUUGAAUUGCUUCUCCCUUUGUUCUUCAGGUGGUCUCCUGAUUACCGACAAUUGAAUUGCUUCUCCCUUUGUUCUCCAGGUGGGCUCCUGAUUACCAACACUUGAACUUGUUUUCCCUUUGUUCUCCAGGUGGACUCCUGAUUACCGACACUUUAACUGUUUUUCCUCGGAACUUGAUUUGUUUUCCAUUUGUUCUCCAGGUGGGCUCCUGAUUGUUGAGCUUGAACUACUUCCUCUUGCGACUGCUUUUCCUUUGAGCUGGCUUCCCUUGUUUCUCUAGGUGGGUGCCUGAUUGCUUGAACCUGAACUGCUUUCUAUCUUUGAAACUCGUGUUGUUCUCUCUUGCUCUCUAGGUGGGCGCCUGAUUGCAACAGAAUAAACAAAACAAAGAAAAUUUUUUGCCCCAGUUUGGUAGCUGGGCACAUCGGUGAGUGUUAAUUGAAUCAUGCUACCAAAUAUCUCUAAGAAUUUGAAAGCUAGAUCCCAUUAUCCUGGAGGGUCCUGAAAGCUCCUAGUAAAAUGACAGUUUUAAAGCUAAAUUAUAUUUUCUAAAGGUAUGACUUCCGCUAAAUCUUGUUAUCUAUGAAGGUCUUAAAACUACAUCCCAUUAUCUAGGAGGGUCCUGAAAAUCCAAAUCAAAUCUCAUCUUAAGAGUGACAACUUUAAGGCUAAAUUAUACUUCCCUACGACAGAACUUACGCUAAAUCUUAUUAUCUAAUGGAGGUCUUAAAGCUAAGUCCCAUUAUUCAGAUGGGUCUUGAAAAUUUCCAAUUGAGUCUCGUUCUAAGAAUGAAAACUUCAAAACAAACUUAUAUUUUCACAAAGUAGAGCUUAUGCUAGAUCUUGUUACUCAUGAAUAUUUUGAAUUUUAAAACUAGGUCCCAUAGUCCAAGAGGGACCUGAGAAUUUACGGUCGAACCUGUCUGGUACUUACUUUCCUUACAGAGAGUUUCUUCGAAACAAACAAAAUUUUCUUCCCCUAUUUCAAAUCAAAGAAAAAUUUUGUUAUUUUAAAAUGUGGUGGUUAGUUUAUGGCAUUCUUACUGAAGGUGGCCUCUCUGUUGUCGUGUUUUGCUUUGACUGGUUGCCUUGCAUAACCCGAGCGCUCUGCACCCAAACUGUUGUUUUACAUUUCUAACCCUUCUACCUAAACCUCUGUAUCUCCCACAAGAUUACUAAACCAUUCGACCAAUGGAACUUUCAUUGACACCUUAUUUCCCACUUUAUAUUAUGUUAUCUUUGGUAUGCUUUGGCCGCACUUUGCUUUGUGCAAUUUGGAGGUUUGGUAGUGAGCUUUGAAAUCCUUUCUUUCUUACUUAAACAAGGCUAAAAUUUGGAAAAACCUUAGAGAAAUAAUCCUAAAGAAGUAAAAUUCAAUGAAUUCGAGAGUUAGGAAUAAAGAGGAAAAUCCAAAACUGGAUGACAUGUUUGAAAGAGAAAAGGGAAAGAGACUUAUCUGAGUGGAGCGGCUGGUACCAAUUAUCAUGACAUGCAUUUCGGAUUAAUCAACCCAGCUUAUUCAACCAAUAUUCUUUCAAUCUUCACACUUUUAUGCCCGUGGUUCCCAUAAUCUAACUCCCUUGCCAAGUCAACGACCUUAUUCGGCUUGUAGUGCCCUGAAGGGUUUUCACCAACAAACCUCUCUCAUUUGUUUAUCUCUUAACUUACUGUCGUCUUACGGUGCCCGUGAGGGUUUUCACCAAUAAGACUCUCUCAUUUUUUAUUUCACUCAGCUUUCCAUCGUCUUACGGUGCCCGUGAAGGGUUUCACCAAUAAGACUCUCUCAUUUUUUACUUCCCUGCUCGGAAUGGAGUGUUUCCCCUGAUACGACUCGCCUCUACUUGCUCGACCUAGCAUCUCUCGAUGACUAAUCGAAAGGUCUUUCUUUGGACCGUAAUGUGCGCUUUGGAUAGGGUUAGAAAGAAAGGGUAUUGAAAGGCUCAAAACAAUUUGAAAUGGUUCAAAAUUAUAACUUUUGGAAUCAGAUUUCUUACAACAACCACAACUUUCUGCCCCAGUUUCUUUACUUGGGGACUUUUGAAUUUUAUUUUGACGGGACCGAACUGUGAGGCUGCCUACGUAUCCUUAAAAGGAAUCAGGUCAAACGUAGUUCAUGCAUAGAAAUUACUUUGUUGUUGUGAUUUUUCUCUUUUCUUUUUCUUUCUCUUCUCUUUUUUUUCCAUUUCCCUUUUUGUUGUUUUUUUUCUCUUCUUUUUUUCACUCUUUUUAUUCUUUUCUUUCUCUUUUUCUCUCUUUUCCUUUACAUAUCUUUUGUGUUCGCAUUUCUGAACUUUGCUACUGAUUCCAUAAGAGGGGAAUGAAAGGAAAUAAAUAAGGCUCAAAGGGGUAACAAAGGAUAAAGUGUUUAGAUAGCAGAACAAAAUGCCUUCGUCAUUCCAAUCUUCAAAACAUGCCAAGUACAAACAAACACAAUUUAAACCAAAGAAAUCAUACAUAAUAUCUUUUGACUACAUCAGAACUGAUAGCCAUAUCUACACAUUUGCCUUCUAUAUCUGUUAAAUACAAAGCACCAUAGGACAACACUCUCGUUACGAUGAACGGCCCCUGCCAAUUUGGGGCGAACUUGCCUUUUGCUUCAGCCUAAUGUGGAAGGAUGCGUUUCAAUACUUGCUGACCCACUUCAAAUUUUCGGGGACGCACUUUCUUGUUGUAUGCUCUUGCCAUUCUCUUUUGAUACAACUGGCCAUAGCAUACUGCUGCCAAUCUUUUCUCAUCAAUCAAACUCAAUUGCUCCAAACAGGUUUUGACCCACUCAUCAUCAUCAAUUUCGGCUUCAGCAAUGAUCUGAAGGGAUGUAAUUUCAACCUCCACGGGUAUUACUGCUUCUGGGCCAUAUACAAACAAAUAAGGAGUUGCCCCUACUGAAGUGCGAACAGUAGUGUGAUAACCCAACAGUGCAAAGGGCAACUUUUUAUGCCAUUGCCUGGAACCCUGCAUCAUUUUUCGAACUAUCUUCUUUAUGUUCUUGUUGGCUGGCUCAACUGCUCCAUUCGCCUUGGGGUGGUAUGGGGUGGAAUUGCAAUGCGUAAUCUUAGACUGUUGACACACUUCUUUCAUCAGAUGGUUGUUAAGAUUAGCACCAUUAUCUGUGAUGAUCACCUUGGGGAUUCCGAAUCGACAAAUAAUAUUUGAAUGAACAAAAUUGACCACUGCCUUCUUGGUUACAGACUUGAAAGUUUUAGCUUCAACCCACUUAGUGAAAUAGUCAAUGGCCACCAGAAUGAACCUGUGCCCAUUAGAUGUUGCUGGCUCAAUUGGUCCGAUGACAUCCAUACCCCAAGCAACAAAGGGCCAUGCUGCGGACAUUGUGUGUAAUUCAGAUGGCGGAGAAUGAAUCAAAUCUCCGUGUACUUGACAUUGAUGACAUUUGCGCACAAAACUGAUACAAUCUCGCUCCAUGGUGUGCCAAUAAUAACCUGCUCGGAGAAUCUUGUUUGCUAGAACAUACCCAUUCAUAUGCGGCCCGCAAACCCCGGAAUGUACUUCAGUCAUGAUUGUUGAUGCUUGUCUAGCAUCUAUGCAUCUUAACAAACCAAGAUCUGGAGUCCUUUUGUACAAAACUCCUCCACUGAAGAAAAACCCACUUGCCAAAUGUCGAAUUGUUCUCUUUUGAUCCCCCGUGGCUUGUACUGGAUACACCCCCAUUCUGAUGUACUCUUUGAUGUCGUGGAACCAUGGCUCACCAUCAAGUUCUUCUUCCACCAUGUUACAGUAAGCAUGCUGAUCGCAGACCUGAAUAUGUAAAGGGUCAACAUAAGCUCUGUCCGGAUGAUGUAACAUUGAUUCCAAGGUAGCCAAAGCAUCGACAACCUCAUUAUAGAUCCUUGGAAUAUGCCUGAAUUAUAUUGAUCAAAAUCGUUGACAAAGAUCAUGCAGACAUUGUCGAUACAGUAUAAGCUUUAAGUCCCGCGUCUCCCAUUAUCCUUGAAUCUAGUGCACCAGAAGGUCUGAGUCUCCCAAGACCAAGACUUCCUGGAUUCCUAUAUCUACAGCUAGCCUUAGUCCCAGAAUGCAUUCCUAGUACUCAUCCAUGUUGUUGGUACAAUAGAAAUGAAGCUGAGCCGUAACUGGGUAGUGAUGCCCUAUUUCAGAAAUGAGUACACCUCAUAUCCCAAUGCCUUUCAUGUUAGUAGCCCCAUCAAAGAAGAGUUUCCAACCGGGCUUUUCCUCCUUCUCGACCUCGUCAAUGUGUUUUACCUCUUCAUCAGGAAAAUAAGUCUUCAAAGGUUCAUAUUCUUCGUCCACGGGGUUCUCGGCCAAAUGAUCAACCAAAGCUUGGGCUUUCAACGCCGUCCGAGUCACAUAUACGAUGUCAAACUCUGUGAGCAAAAUCUGCCACUUUGCAAGCCUUCCUGUGGGCAUGGGCUUCUGAAAGAUAUACUUUAGAGGAUCCAGGCAAGAAAUGAGGUAAGUAUUGUAGGACGACAAGUAAUGCUUCAAUUUCUGUGCCACCCAAGUCAGGACACAACACGUCCUCUCAAGGGGAGUAUACUUAACCUCAUAAGAUGUGAAUUUCUUGCUGAGAUAGUAGAUGGCCUGCUCUUUCCUGCCAGUGAUGUCAUGCUGACCCAACACAUAACCAAAUGAGUUAUCCAGGACUGUCAAAUAAAGAAUCAAAGGUCUUCUUGGUUCUGGUAGGACCAACACAAGUGGGUUCGACAAAUACUCCUUGAUCUUAUCGAAGGCUUCCUGGAACUCAUCGGUCCAAUUGACCGCAACAUCCUUUUUUAGCAAGUUGAAUAUGGGCUCACAAGUUGUUGUGAGCUGAGCUAUAAACCUGCUGAUAUAGUUUAGCCUCCCUAACAAACUCAUCACCUUGGUCUUGUUCUUUGGCGGAGGUAGUUCCUGAGUAGCUUUAAUCUUUGACGGAUCCAAUUCAAUGCCCCACCGGCUGACUAUGAAUCCCAAAAGUUUUCCAGAUGGGACACCAAAUGCACACUUUGCAGGGUUGAGUUUAAGAUUGUACCUGUGGAGCCUUUGGAAGAACUUUCUCAAAUCUCUGCCGUGGUCAGACUACUUCUUGGACUUUAUGAUCACAUAAUCCACGUAAACCUCAAUCUCUUUGUGUAUCAUAUCAUGGAAUAUGGUUGUCAUUGCCCUCAUAUAAGUUGCCUCGGCAUUUUUCAAACCAAAAUGCAUGACCCGGUAGCAAUAUGUUCCCCAUGGUGUGAUGAAUGCCGUCUUUUCCGCAUCUUCCUCAUCCAUUAAAAUCUGAUGAUAGCCCGCAUAGCAAUCCACAAAAUACCCAAUCUCAUGUUUGGCACAACUAUCAAUCAAAAUGUGGAUAUUUGGCAAUGGGAAGUUGUCCUUUGGACUUGACUUAUUGAGAUCAUGGUAAUCAACACAUACUCUGGUCUUACCAUCCUUCUUUGGCACAGGCACAACAUUGGCUAACCACGUGGGAUACCGCUUGACUCGAAUUACCUUUGCAUCAAAUUGCUUUGUGACCUCUUCUUUAAUCUUCACACUCAUGUCGAUUUUGAACUUUCUCAACUUCUGCUUGACGGGAGGGAAUGCUGGAUCAAUUGGCAAUUUGUGGACUACCAAAUCGGUACUUAAGACUGGCAUGUCGUCAUACGAUCAUGCAAAGAUAUCCUUAUACUCAAACAAUAUUUUAAUUAUUUCUUCCCUGAUUUGUGGUUCAAGAUGGACACUUAUCUUAGUUUCUCUGACAUUUUCUAGGUCCCCUAGAUUGAUUGCUUCUGUAUCAUUCAGAUUAGGCUUGAGUUUUUCUUCAAAAUGACUUAGUUCCUUACUAAUCUUUUCAAAGGCCUCAUCCUCAUCAUAUUCUGAUUCAUCACCACACUCUAUUUCUUGGAUUAUUAUUUCAGAAUUAGAUUGACUUUUAAGACUGGACCGAAGAUUCCUCAUACAUGUCAUGUCAUUAAAACCAGCAUAAAAAGAACUGUACAGAGAAGAAAAGAAAAUAAAAAUAAAACUAUCAGGAAUGAUGGAAAGGGAAAUUGCAUUUCAUUAAAAUAAAGGAUAAUAGGGUUUGUACAUCAACAAGCAAAAAAUAAAAGUCUGGGUCACAACCCUGGAAUGACCUAGAUAGAAAGGAAAACAAAACAAACUACCAAGACUCUUUCCUAGUAGGGAGAGGAGUAGCCUUCCAAUUGUUAAACUUUGCAUUCGGCCCGACGAACUGCACGUCUACUUUGCUAGAACCUUCUCCAAAUUCCACCAUGUUCACAUCAUCAAACAACCUCUAGAACCUUUUAAUUAACUCCUCAUCAAUGUCAACCACAGAACUUGGGACCGUCGUCACUGGGCGUUUCCUGGCACCAGGCUUGACAAAGGACCUGGAGAGACGGGGAACAGGCUAUGGAAGUGCCCACACCUUCUGUUUCAACCUUUUAGCCCUUUUCACAUCUGCCGUUGUAGGUUUGAAUCCAAGAUCGAACGUACCCAAAUUUUUAGGGAGGGACACUGGUUGUACGAUACCAUGCAGAGAUGCACCCAGACCUUUACCGGGCACAAAACCAUUUUUUAGCAUUUCAAAGCCACCAUGGUAGAUGUAGAGGUUAUCUUAGUAGUUGGAAUACAUUUGCCCUCUGGAGCUUUCUCGACCGACACUAUUUCAAAAACCUGAUAGACCCAGGGCCCUUUGUCAUCUUCAACCUCAAUGAACGGGAUAAAGGCAUCACUGUGAGCACACAAGUUAUCUUCACCAUGCACGACGAUCUCCUGUCUAUCCCAUUUAAACUUGACCAUCUGGUGCAGAGUGGACAGGACUGCUUUGGAAGCAUGAAUCCAAGGUCGACCUAAUAGCAAAUUGUAAGAGAUGGCUACGUCCAGCACCUGGAACUCCAUGGUGAAUUUCACUGGUCCUAUUGUCAACUCAAGCACUAUAUCACAAACUAAAUCUUUCCAUGUACCGUCAAAUCCCCGAACGCAGAUGAUGUUCUUAUGAAUCCUCUCAUCAUCCACUUUCAACUUGUUCAGAGUAGAGAGAGGGCAGAUGUUUGCACUAGAACCAUUGUCGACUAAUACCCUAGUAACCACAGAAUCUUCACAUUUUACUGUAAGAUAGAGAGCUCUGUUAUGUUCAGUACCUUCCACAGGCAACUCAUCAUCAGAGAAGGUGACCUUGUUCACCUCAAAUAUUUUGUUGGCGAUCUUUUCCAGAUGGUUUACUGAAAUUUUGUCGGGAACAUGAGCCUUGUUCAGAAUUUUUAUCAAGGCUCGACGAUGCUCGUCUGAGUGGAUUAACAAUGACAACAAUGAAAUUUGAGAAGGCGUCUUUUUCAAUUGCUCCACAAUGGAAUAAUAUUGUACCUUCAUUUUUCUCAGAAACUCCUCCGCCUCUUCUUCAGUCACUGCUUUUUUCACUAACACUGGGUUAUCUCUGGAUGUUUUAGCUUUCCUUAACUCUUCCGGGGCAAAGUAUCUCCCCGAACGAGUUAAUCCCUGGGCCUCAUUGGCUUCUUCUUUCACUUCCUUUCCCUUAUAGGUCAGUAUCACCCGUUCAUAGUUGCACGGGAUAGCCUUGUUGUUGACUAUCGGCAACUGGGUUAUAGGCUUGAUGAUGACAGGAUCCAUACAGGCACCCUCUACAGCUAUGAUAGGCUUGUUUGCCGCUCCUGGCACAACCACUUUUGACUUUUCUUUCUUCUCCGCGACAUCACUUGGGGGUCCUUACUUGACUAGCACAGAUGGUUCACUGUUUGCCCUACUCAACUUGUUCACUGAUCCUUCAACUGUUGGUUUUUUAAUUAGCUUGACCUCACUGGACUGAAUCAUCAUGACAGUUUGUGAAGGCUUCUUGGGCUCCCCUCCCUUAUGUACUAUCUCGAUCAUGUUUGUUUCCUGAUGGGUUGGAAAUGGGUUCUGGUUGAUGUUAGGUGCCUAUGGAGUUUGGACUUCAAUCCGGUUUGUGUCAAUGAGCUCCUGGAUGGCGUUUUUCAAGUGGCAGCACUUCUCCGUAUCAUGCCUCGGAGUACCAGAACAAUAUUCACAGCUUAUAAAGUAAUCAAGAUUCUUUGGAGGAGGGUUUGACAAUUUUGACUCAAUUGGCCUCAGCAUAUCUAAUUGCCUCAAUAUGUGGAACAAACGAUAUAAGACUCCCCCAAUGGGGUAAAGAUUUUCUUCUAUUGUAUCCUCUUAUUUUUUAAAUGCUAGAUUAGGUCGGAAACCUGGGCCGGUAGGGUUUCGGUACACUCGUGGAGGUGGGUAAGCAUUUUGUGGAGCUGGGUAGGUGUUUUGUGGGGCUGGGGAACACCAUUGUGCGUAGGUAGGAGGUUAAGUAUAUGUUUGGGCAUGGUGGACAGAAAUAUGAGGGAAUGCUGAUGGGAAGUAGUGUUGGGUGGAUUAUAUGGAGGUUGGGUGUAGGUUCGGUGAUGGGGUCGCAGCUGGGUAUAUCGGUGAUGGACAUAACAGUGCUCUCUUUCUGCUUUGAAAUCUUUUGCCUGCUUGGUCAUCUUGUUCUCAAGGACGAUGAUCUUUUUCUUCAACCUCAUGACUCCAUUGUCAUAUUUCUCUUUUAAUUGUUGAACCAAGCGUGCUCGUUCCUCCGCAUUCUUGGCCAAUUUUGUUUGAGCCCUUGCCAGUUCGCCCUCGGCCUUUUUCAGAUCAAAACCAUAUUCACCCACUUUCUGCCUAAGGUUACAUAUAAACUUUUCAUCUUUUGCACUUCUAGCGGGGUUUUCAGCUACUAUUUUCAUUUCCUGGAUUUGGGCUCGAAGGGCGUCAUUUUCUUUGGCUAGCUUUUUCUUUUUGCCCUCAUCCGCGGCGGCUUGCAAACCAUUCUCAAACUGAAGAUCCCUGACUUGUUUUUCCAGUUUGCCUAUUGUGGCCCUAUACUCGUUCUCCUUGGCCAACCAAGCCCACUGUUCUUGCGAUACUUCAACAAAUUCCUGAAUGUGAGGCUUUUUGGUUGGUCUUUCAGGUUUGGCCCUUGUGGUGUUCUUUUUUCUAUACCAGGCAAGAUAGGCUGGUGAGACCUCGCCUCUAGAUAGGUCACACACUCGAGUGUUUGCUGUCAAAUACUAGCACUCAAUCCAAAUAUGACGAACUGUUUCUUUAUGAAAUUGGCCGUCGGAGCUGACUUCGACCGCAUAAACACUAAGAUCUUCAUCUGGGUGCGUCACCUGGCAUCUUCCCAACUGUCUCAUUACCUAGUAUGAAGCAUAAGGAUGAAUGCCUUGAAGACCCAUUAGAAGGAGGUAAGGCCCGGUGGCAGGCAUAUACAUAAUUUCUUCAACAGGAAGCCAACCCAGUGUCUGCUAUAUUUGCCCCGCAGUGAUGGAGCGAAGGCGGGGUACCCAAUCUCCAAACCCUUCUGGCAGCUUGAACCUUGAAAUUCUUGUGUCUAACUCUUCAAUGCAGCUUUUCUCCAUGGACCCAUAACUCAUAUACUGAGGGCGGUGAGACAGAUGCUGGAUCAUCCACAUUUGUAACAGCAAAUGGCAUCCUUCGAAAAAGUUUGCCCCAGCUUUACAAGCUGUGAGAGCUCGGUAUAUCUCAGACACUAUCAUAGGGGUGAGAGUGCUCUUGGCAUUGGUAAUAAAGAUAUUGAUGACUCCAGCCACCCGCAGAUCCAUAUUCCCAUCCUUUCGGGGAAACACCACGAGGCCUAAGAAGGCUACCAUGAAAACGAAACGCCUAUGCUCAUCCCAUUUUGCUCGGUUCCCUUUGCUACAAACCCCACUCUCCGGGUUGUCAAAUCCUCCUACAUGCCCGUACAUUUGGUAUAUGAAGCGUAGAGUGGAAAAACCGACCGCCAAAUCUGCGUACUAGACCCCACUACUUAUUUUUAGCAAAUCCAAGAACUUGUGAGAGGUAACGGUUCUUGGAGCGACCAGAUACUUAUGCCUUAGACCUUCAGUACUUCCCAUAUAACCUACUAUCUCUUCCAAGAUAGGUGUGAGUUCAAAAUAUGAGAAGUGGAGGACGUUGUGAGCUGGGUCCCAAAAUGUUACCAGUGCCCUUAUUAUGUCUCCUUUAUGCCUAAUCUUCAUCAAUCCGGUGAGCCCUCCCAAAUAAAGGUUGACCACAUCUCGUCCUUCUUUACCCAAAUCUUCCCACCACAUGAGUAGAUCCAAUGGAAUCUUGGACAUGACCUUUAUUGGUAAAUUUUGACUCGUGCUCAUUCUACACUUUUAGAUUAGGGUGAUUGGUUUACACACAAAGUGAAUCUCAUUUAAAAAACUAAUAAAAGGGGUUAUUUUGCAAAAAUCAAGAAGUCAGGGCUACUUUUGCGAAUACGGCCCUCUAACACUUUGAAAUGGAAGUUUUUAGGGCUGUGAUCACUAAGUGGCCAAAAUUUAACAAAACACAGUCAGUGACUAUUCUUGCAAAAACAGCCUUCCGGUGUCCCGUUGAGACAUUAGGCUAUUUAGACAAGAACGGCAUUACCCACUUUAUUUACGACAAAAUGACGACACUUCAUAUAUUUUUUCAAAUUUUUUCAAAAAGCGGAGCUGGACCUGAUAAGGGUUGCCUAUGUAUCCCACAUCCGGUGAGAAUCAAACAUGCGUAGUUUGGCUAGUUUUGACAUGAAAAAACAAAAAUCAUUUUGGACUAAUUCUUCUCUUUUCAAGAAACUUCUUUUUCAAGGAAUUCUUUUUCUUCUCUUUUUUCAAAAAUUCGGCAGAGUUUCGAAACAUUUUGGGCAUCAUUUUUGGGAAACGGGUGAAAUCCUCUCUCAUACCUCAACUCGGGUUUUCUUUUGGUUUUCCUCACUCAAUCUAGAAGCUGGUCAACAUGCAAUCCAAAACAAAUUAAAUGCACAGGUAGCACAUAGAAUGCAUCAGGUUGGUCUUUUACUUUCGGAUGCACCUGUCCUAGACGGACCCAACCCCUGUGUUGAGUCCCCAAAGUCAAAUGCACAUGGUGCAAACAAGCGUUCCUACUAGGGAUCCGACAUAAGGCUAAGUUAUUCUAAGUUUAAAACCUGGAUGUAUUGUUCUAGACCUGGCUUACACGAGCAGACAACUCGAGCCGAUGGGGGGAAGCAUACCGGUAACCAAAAGAUCAUCCAGCUUUGCAACUUGUCCGAACCUCGUUCUAAAUUGGGAUAUGACACUAACAGAAAGAAGUCACGCCAGUGUGCACUCCUCAGAAGAUAGAUGAGAGAGGUUUCAUAGCAGUUUAUAUAUACAGAUCAGAUAAUAUCAAAGCGGUAAAAGGCAACAUUUAGCACAUUAGGCCCAAACAUGUAGAUAAAAUCAGACAAUAAGCCGAAUAUAACAAUUAUUCUAAGCUCGAAUUCUUGAACCCUGAACCAGAGAUUCUGGGUUCGUAUCCCCACAGAGUCGCCAGAUCUGUCACACCUCUUUUUUCCUACCCCCGAAAAGUUAUAUAAGGGGAGAUUUUUCCAAUUCAAGUGACAAUCGAAACGGGAUUAUUUGUUUUUAAAAAAAAUCAUAGUCGCCACUUGGAAUAAUUUAUGGUGUCCCAAGUCACCGGUUCAAAUCCCGAAUCGAGGAAAGGUUGACUCUGGUUUAUAGUCCGCGAAUACAGAAAUUCGGGUAAGGAAUUCUAUUAACCCGAGAGAAGCUUUUAGGCAUUCCUGGGUCCCGUGGUUUUAGCACGGUCGCUCAACGGUUAUUAUUGGCCUAUUUAUUUGAUUUUAAAACAUCUUUGAAACCUAUGUGCAUUUUUAUUCCUUUUAAACCGCUUUUAAUAAUUUGAUUGUUAUACAACUAAUUAUUUGAUUACACGUUGCGAAUCAUGUUACAGGAGUCGUACCCAUGAUCCGCAACAUGUUUAUUUUUAAUAACAAAAUUAAAUUGUGGCCGGGUCGCAUAAAUGCACCCCCGGGUUUUAGGAAUUAAGUAUCAUGACCACAUCACGGGAACCGUACCCGUAGCUAUGACAAUUAUUUAAUUAACGCGCCUAAAGCAAACUACGAAAGCUCAAGGCAUUUUCUAUACUAAUUUGGUAUUUAUGUAAGGGCCAUACAUUAUGGAUUUUAUUUGCGUAUGGCGCACCUCAAUUUAGUUUAGGAAAAGAAUUUGUAUUUAGCUAAGGCAAACCUUAAAUACUCCUACUUAUACCUAAUUUUAAAAGAAACUAAGAAUCACAACCACGUCACGGGAAUUGUACCCGUAGUUGUAAUAACUUAAUUACGCGCCUAAAGAAAACUACGAGAUUUAUUUUAGUAACUAAAUUAUAAAAUAUGAGGGCCAUAGAUUAUAUGAUUCAAAUGUAUGAAUGGCACACGCCUCAAAACUAUUCAACUAGAUGAAUUAAGGAUAUUCAUAUUUAAAGCUAAUUCAAAAUUUAGCGUCACAACUACGUCACGGGAACCAUACAUGUAGUCGUGACGUUUCAAAAAAGGGCCUACAACGAACUAUGUGGUUCACAGUUUUGUUAUUCCUUACAUUGAAAUUAUUUUACAAAAAAAACCAAGAUUACAAAAGGGGUUAUAGGCUUGAGGGAAACGAUUCAGUUGAUUCAACACUUAAGGAAAGAUUAAUCACAAUCCCAUAUCUUGAUCCAUUCACGAAUAAGUCAAGCACAAUGACAAAGAUGUGGCAUUCAAGAAAACAUAGAGGAUUACUAUCUAACAAACAAAAGCAGAAAUGAUAAUAAUAGGGUUAACAAAAUGGUGUAGAUUUUCAAUAUGAUUAAAUCUUGCAUUUCCCUCCCUUUCCGAAGUGAGCUCUCAGUACUAAAACAAGACAAAUUUAGUAAGAUCAAAUCCACCGAGCCUCAAAGACGCAAUGGCCAAACAUCAGAUCAAAGAGUCCAAUAAUUGAUAGGCAACAAUAACAUAAAUGGCACCAAAUAUUCCAUCCACAUAAACUGGAUGCCUAAGCUACCAUACUUGGAUUGCAAACAUAAAACUAUCUUGCAAAUCUGUAUUAGGCCUAAAUCUCAACUUUUCUACAUCUAAAUCCAAAUGAAACAGCAAGAGUGCUCAAUGCAAAAAUCAGUUAAAGCUUCAAACAAACCAAAUCCAUCACUGAAGUAGUAACACAUGGUUAACAAUUCCAGAACGUUAUACUACCCUAAAGGACCAGUGAGAAUCUGAAGAUAUAACAGAUAAAUAUACCUAUAGAAUAGAUGAGUGCAAGUUCUUAACACAACAAAUAACCCAGUUCUCACAAUUAAUGAAAUCCCUUAUCCAGUGAAGAGAAGACCCAAUAUUUCAAAAGGAGUGAUAAGUCAUGUUAAGAAAAGCAUUUUGAAUCAUAUUUCAAUUGGUAGAACUGAAGUCAACCAAAUCCUAAUCCCUUCACACAACUAUAACCUUAGGUGAGUUUCAUUUAAAACUUAAGAGACAUGAUGUGCACAAUUGUUUGAGAACCAAUAAAAAUAACUCUCACGAUACAACUCUGUUAACAUUAGUAAGCCAAAGAUGAACAGAUCUAAUCCGAAAACAUAAGCAUAACCUAAACGCUUCAGUUUUCAAUUUAUCACAUUCAAACACAUCGAAUAGAAAGAUAGCACAUUGGAUAACAAGAACAGAUCGACGAACAUCUCUUUCACGCACAAAUCGAAACUGGAAGCUAACUUAAUUCAUCAAAUUUCAAAACAACUGCUUAAAUUCGAGUCGCUAACAACUACUAUCAACUAGAAUGCACUCGAUGACAGUCCUAAAACUUUGAUGCAAAGUAAAAUCAUACUCUCAACUAGCAGUCAUGAUCGGACUCGGAUUUCAAUACAAAGAUGCUACCAACUCAAAUACUCAACUCAAUUUCCUCAAUUAAUAACACUCAAUGGAUUAGGGCUAAAGUAGAAUGAGAAGCUAUUUUUCAAUUCGCAGAACUUCAAGGAUGAGCACAGCUCACACAACUGAACAUCGAUUCAGUUUAAAGUCCAAACAAUGGCAACAAACAGACUUGAACCAUUAAAAACAAUCAUACUUAAUGCAAAACUAUCACGAAUUCUAACUGAUCUUUAGAUGAACCAGUAACAUAUCUCAACAGAACCCAAAACUGAAAAGAAGAAGCCAAAGAAGGAUUUCCAACAUGUCGGAUUCAAACUAUAAGAUGCUUUCGAAUUCUCAGCAUUUCAAAGAUAAUUUCAGCAUUCACUCAAAAUUCAAACUUCAACAGCAAAUACUCACUCAUUUUGUUUUUUGAAUCUUUAACUUAACCAAAAGGAACCUUUUAAAGAACUGAACUAAUUUAAAAUAUGACGCGACUAAAGCUUAACAAAGAGUCAUAACAGUUCUAAUUGCUGAAUCGAACUGACUGGAUCGACAACAAUCAAUGAGCCUCCAAAAACAAUUUCAGAGCUCAGUUGACAUAUACACAUCCAAACCAACCAGAAAUACUCGUGCAAAUGGCAAACUAACACAUUACGACCAACAGCCACCAAGAUUUAAAUAGUUUCAAACCAGUUGAACUCAAACUCUCAAUACAUUUCUUAAUCAAAUACCAAAGAUAGGCUACAGGAGAUUAAAAACGAACCUGAAUCAGUAAAACACUUCUGUUUAAUUUUGCUCGAAUGUUGAAUACAAAUGAAAUCCGGAAGCUAAUGUCAAUCCAAACAAGCAAUAGAAUCGAGUAGAAAUCAGAAGCUCGGACAGCAGCAAACUCAGCAACUCUCAAUCGAUCACCAUUCCCAAACAAACCUCCAGCCAAGAAAGAAAGAAUGGAAUAUAUAUUUAUGAUUUUCUUUUUUUGAAAAGUAAUCGAAAAUGAAACCAAUUCAAAGAACAAUGAACAUUUUUUUAUAUCUUCUCUUGUUCUGAAAAACUGAACUAAAAUUCAAAAUGAAGAAGAAGAAAAAUCUCUUUUCAAUCCUCGCCUUUCUGCCCAAAAAAUCCCCCUUUUCAGAAGAGAAGCCUUACCUUAUAUAUAUCUCCCCAAAAAUCUCGAACCUUCUCUUUCUUUCUUCACAUACACGAAAUCUGAAAAUCUCUUUCGGAUCCAAUUCUGACGGAUGUAAGGAGGGGAUUGAUCCUCAAAUCAAUCCACGGCUCCCAUUUUUCGGAAUUUAUUCCUCAGAGAUUUCAACGAAUUCAGCACAUGGGUGGAAAAAAUGUUAGAAGCCGUUAGAAUAUUCGGUGACGUGGUGAGAUGGGGUGUGCGUGGGGUGAGUUUGAGCUCACUCGUGCGAGUUUGGACACAUAUCUAAUGGUGAAGGAGAUGGUGAAUAGUAAAGCGUCGUCUCUGAAUUUGGGAUCUAGGGUUCAUUU
rnacentral:lncRNA from 1 species